GGUUCGUUAGACUAAUGGUAAGUCAGGGGAUUGUAAAUCCCUCGCCCUUAAUCGGGCUUCUAGGUUCGAGUCCUAGGCGGACCA
rnacentral:tRNA from 1 species